AACGAACGCUGGCGGCAGGCUUAACACAUGCAAGUCGAACGAGAUCUUCGGGAUCUAGUGGCGCACGGGUGAGUAACGCGUGGGAAUCUACCUUGGAGUCUGGGAUAACAGUUGGAAACGACUGCUAAUACCGGAUACGCCCUUAGGGGGAAAGGUUUACUGCUCCGAGAUGAGCCCGCGUCCAAUUAGGUAGUUGGUGAGGUAAAGGCUCACCAAGCCGACGAUUGGUAGCUGGGUCUGAGAGGAUGACCAGCCACACUGGGACUGAGACACGGCCCAGACUCCUACGGGAGGCAGCAGUGGGGAAUAUUGGACAAUGGGGGGCAACCCUGAUCCAGGCCAUGCCGCGUGAGUGAUGAAGGCCUUAGGGUUGUAAAGCUCUUUCGCCGGUGACGAUGAUGACGGUAACCGGAGAAGAAGUCCCGGCUAACUCGUG
rnacentral:rRNA from 1 species